GGGAGUAUAGCUCAGUUGAUAGAGCAACGCCCUUUUAAGGCGAUGGUCGCAGGUUUGAACCCUGCUGCUCCCA
rnacentral:tRNA from 1 species